GAAAGGAAAGGAAAGGAAAGGAAAAAAGAAAAGAGAAAAGAAAAGAAGACAAAGGAAAAGAAAAUUGCAGACCAAUGCUCCCAAUGAAUAUGGAUUCAAAAAUCCUCCAUGAAAUACUAGCAAAUCAAAUUUAACAUUACAAUAGAAGGGUCAUUCAUUCCAGGAAUGUAAGGCAUUUCUAUUAUUUUUUUAUAUUUUUAUUCUUUUUGAGAUUAUAAUAUAGUUAUAUCAUAUUUUCCCCUUGAAUCUCUAUCCGGACUACACCUACUAGCCACAUGUGUAUAUUUAAGUUAAAAUAAGACUAAGCUAGAGAGAUGGCUCAGUUGUUAAAAAGUGUAUAUUGCUCUUGCAGAGGACCUGAGUUUGGUUCCCAGCACCCAAUCAGAAACUCACAGUGGCUGACCUAGGAAUAGCCUAUAAGUUCAGUUCCUGAUGUAUUAGCAACAUUUUAAGUGAGCUCUAAGUGGUUAGUACCUAUCAAAUGAAGACAUAGAAUAUUUCCAUUCACAGAAUCUAUUGUCAGCCAACCUGGUAAAAUCCAGAGAAACUUUAUGCAAGCAGAAAGCGGUGCUUUUUAAUAACUGUCCCUGUUAUCUGCUUCACAGAGUCCCGGUGUCUUUCAGGCUUCAUCUUACUGGGAACGAUGGGCGUCAAUGCUUGGUCAGAUUCAAAGCUAGAAGACCACACUGUCCAGAGAUUAGACAUUAGAGAAUGGAGUCCGUCCUGAUUCAAGCACAGAUUCAGAUUCAACAGAGCUCAUGCGUAGCUACAAGUGAGAGGAGAACAAAUGGGCCAAUGCCUCAUUUCAAAAUGUCAAGUAGUUCCUCUCAAUGACUCUUCAUGUGAAGAGAUUGUCAUGGGGGAGGGGGACAAGAAUUGGGAGCUUUGGAGAGAAGCUCAGAGGGUCUGUGUUGGUCCUUUUACUGAGGGGCUAUUAGUAAGCCUGAAUUGGCAGUAUAGGUUGUCUUUUAAUACAAAUGUAUAAUUGCUAAAAACAAAACACCCAUUUGCUCGUAGACCACUAAAAACUUCCAUAAGGCCCCUAAGUUGCAGUCUCGCUCCACAAUAGGUGUGUGGGAGGUAAGAUGAGACCACUGAUGCCAAUGUUCCAAGUAAGGUGUUUUGAACAUGUUUAUUCAUGUUGCAAACCCGAGCAGUUGAGGUGGAGCAGUGUUGGUCUGACUCUGCAGCCCCUUGCACUCAGAGCUCAUCUGUGUGGAUGCAGUGGUGAUGUGGGAGCCACAGAUAUCAAAGCCACCACAGUUUCCUUUGGGGCUCAUUUCAAUGAGUGCACUGGCACUCUGGGAGCCACUGGCUCUGUGGGAGCCGCAGAUGUCAAAGCCACUGCAGUCCCCAUCACAGCUUGCCUGGAAGGAAAAUUUUUCUGCAGCCUUUCUUCUUCAUUAGAGCCCCAGUCUGAAAUCUAAUGCCCUUUAACUGGAGAGGGCCAGGGAGAGAGGAUGCUUGAUGCACAAAGCAAACAGCUAUCUAAGUGCAGUGCUCAAAAAUAAUUGGCAGCUUUAGAGUAAGAUAAAACUCCAUAAUGAUAAAAAAAAUCGUACAGUAUCUUUACUCUGGCAAAGAGACCUUGACAGGACACACAGUCUGUCUUCCCUUGCCCGUUUUCAAAACAUAAACUAUUCCUGGUAGAUAAGUCAUGAUUCUAUAUUUCUGGAUAUCCAGGAAGAAAAUAUUACUCUGUGUGUAUGUGUGUGUGUGUGUGUGUGUGUGUGUGUGUUAUGUACUUGUGUGCAUGCGUGCCACACACGAGUACUUGAAUGUCACAUCACGCAUGUGGCAAUCAUAGAAUACCUCUGCACAUGGGUUCUUUUUUUUUUUUUCUUUUGGUUUUUCGAGACAGGGUUUCUCUGUGUAGUCCUGGCUGCCCUGAAACUCACUUUGUAGACCAGGCUGGCCUCGAACUCAGAAAUCUGCCUGCCUCUGCCUCCCAAGUGCUGGGAUUAAAGGCGUGCGCCACCACACCUGGCUUCCACAUGGGUUCUGAGGAUUGAAUGAAUAUCAUUAGCAGUGGUACCAAGUGCCUUUACCUUCUCAGCCAUUUUGCCAGCCUGGGAAGUUUAUUUUAACAUUAGUUCAUAUGCAGCCAGGCAUGGUGGCUCACACCGUUAGUCCCAGCACUAGGGUGUUGUGGCCGGCCAGCGGCUCACAUGCCUGGGUUCUAGUCUGGAAAGGCAUCUUGGAAACCUGGAAGAGAAGAGCGGGGGCUAGGCAGUUGUUAAUAUAAAAAAGAAAAGGCUGGGUCGAGGCAUAAAAUUUAUUUAUGCCCUAUAGUUCUGCCUGAAUUUUAAGGGCCUAAUGAAGAAACCUGUCUCCAGUGGUAUAUCUUAAUUAUUUUUAUGGAAAACCCGUAUCUGGAUAAGACUGUCCUUACUGUCUUAGUAAACAUCUAGCAGACUAGCCCUGAGCUGUUGGCUCCAUCUUUUAUAAUGUUAAUUAGUACUGAAUAGGUAAUUUCCUUGAUGAAAUUUUUACUGAAUACCAAGUAGUCAGCUACUUACUAGCUACUAGAGGUCUUUUUAGGGCCUUGGAACCCUGGCGAAGACUGUUUGUACAAAUUUGAAAGGCACUUUAUUAUGAAUAACACUGAAGGAGAGUAUGUUGAUUUUCUUCCGCAUUCUUGGAUGACAGGCGGGAAACAGAGGGAGGGGGUGAGGACCGGCUCCGCAGUACAGGGCCAAUCAGCUUUUUAGGGUGGGAGGCUGUGAAGGGCUUGCCCUUCUGACAGUACGGUCUCUAACUUCUAACUUAAGUGAUCUCUAAGAAAACAGAGGCCAGCCUGGUCUAAAUAGCAAGUUUCAGGCCAUCUACAGUUAAGUAGCAAGUCAGUGUCUUUAAAAAAGAAAAGUUUAGACCCACCUCGUUGCCAUUAAAAUUGGCUUUUAUCCUUUCAGUCUUUAGUAAGUGCAUAUAAAGGCUAAUCAGCAUACCAUAUGUAACAGUCACUGAAGGUCAGCCAGAAAUUGCCACCUCAUUUUCUCACAGACUAAAAUGUGUUUCCUUAAACAUCUUUUUCUCUGGCAGAAUGUCUUAGCCUUGAACUUGUUUAUGCCGCUUGGGCUUUGGCUUCCAGGUCUCCAUAGUCUACAGUUAUGGAGCAUCUGCAGGCGAGAUACUGAUGAGGACUUGGCCCAUUGAGCUUGCUUAUACCCCGAAGUACCAGCAGUUUCUGCUGUUCACAGUGGUCUGAGGCUGCAAAGCCCCCAUAAACACAGACUGUAAAACGUGACCUUAGAAGUCAGAAGGAUCACUCUGUUAUCUAAAUAUGUGUCGGCCACUGAGGCCUCCAUUUCUGUUGGUUAUAAAUGUACAGAGGAAUGAGAAGAGCAUAUCAGACUAAUACUCGUGUGCCAGCCUUUAAAAUGGUGCAGAUAUUGAGAACUGGAGUUUUGUUUCCUGGUGGGGAGACUCAUCCUGAGGACUGUGAACAGCACUUGCCUUCUCAUCAGAAAGCGUGACCCUGAGCUAGCAUUCCUCCUGUGCCUGGGGAAUAUGCCACCAUCCCUCUAAGUCUAACCCUAGAUCUGUUUCCAGCCCCAUGUCCUUUACUCUGGUGUCAUCACUUCCUCUGAGACUACUUUUUGCCACUGUCAGUCACUUCCGUGUUUUCAUUGAUUAGUUAACUAAUUCCUUUCCUGUCUAGGACUAUUUAUUUAUUUAUUUAUUUAUUUAUUUAUUUAUUUAUUUAUUUAUUUAUUUAUUUGCUUUAAAAAGAUACAGGGUCGGGCUGGAGAGAUGGAUCAGUGGUUAAGAGCACUGACUGCUCUUCCAGAGGUCCUGAGUUCAAGUCCCAAUAACCACAUGGUGGCUCACAACCAUCUGUAAUGGAAUCCAACUCUCUCUUCUGGUGUGUCUGAGGACAGCAACAUUGUACUCAUAUACAUAACAUAAAUAAAUC
rnacentral:lncRNA from 1 species